UACCAUUAUCUUUCGAAAGUUGAAACUGAGCACAGUGUUGCAUCCACAUCUAUCAUAUCUCAUACUCCUUCUGAAAUCAGAAAUAAAUACACAAAUCAUGCAGUAGAAGGACAUGGAGGGAGCAGAUAAUGCAAAAGUUUGCAUGUCUUAUUUGCAGAAAUAAAAGAAAAGGACCAGACAAUGAAAGACUGAAAUAACCAUGUCUAAUGCGCCUAUACAGUUCGUUGUAGAUCUGCUUGCUGACUGGAACCGAACACUUGUUUCAAGUAGCAUUUGGUUAUUCCUACCAAUUGAUUUAUAGUCAGCACCAAUUAAAAAUAGCACCAUUUCAGAGCCAUUUCUAGAUCGAGAAAAGGGCAUGCAAUGUACCAUUCAAUCUGCAAAAGCUGAUGCGGGGCCGUAGGAAGCUUCCGCUUCUACAUCAGAUGGAGCAAGAACAGGGAAGAGGAGACAUGAGGCGACAUUUCCAUUCCUCAAGACACGG
rnacentral:lncRNA from 1 species